GACGAACGCUGGCGGCGUGCUUAACACAUGCAAGUCGAGCGGUAAGGCCCCUUCGGGGGUACGACGAGCGGCGAACGGGUGAGUAACACGUGGGUGGCCUGCCCUCAGCUCUGGGAUAAGCCUGGGAAACUGGGUCUAAUACCGGAUAUGACUCCAUGACGCAUGUCGUGGGGUGGAAAGCCUUGUGCGGCUGGGGAUGGGCCCGCGGCCUAUCAGCUUGUUGGUGGGGUGAUGGCCUACCAAGGCGACGACGGGUAGCCGGCCUGAGAGGGCGACCGGCCACACUGGGGACUGAGACACGGCCCAGACUCCUACGGGAGGCAGCAGUGGGGAAUCUUGCGCAAUGGGCGAAAGCCUGACGCAGCGACGCCGCGUGAGGGAUGACGGCCUGUGUAAC
rnacentral:rRNA from 1 species